rnacentral:tRNA from 1 species
AUUUUUAUAGCUUAUAUAAAAGAGCACUACGUUGAAGUUGUAGGGGAAGACUGAGUCUUGAAAAUG